rnacentral:lncRNA from 1 species
GCGCGAGUUUGACCGAUUCUAUGAGCUCGGUCAAUAGCUUGAUCUUCAGUGGUGGGAUUCCACCAAAGAUCGAAAAGAAUAACAUGAGAGGCAGCCACCAUGUUCAAACCUAGAUUCCCGGCUUUCAGUGACAUCAGCAUAACAUGAACCUCGGGAUCAGUGUUGAACUGUUUAACAGCACGGUCCCUUGAAGAUAAAGACAUUGAGCCAUCAAGUCUCCUGUAUUCAAUACUAUACUGAUUGAGCGACAUUUCAAAAAGAUCCAACAUUCUCGUCCACUGCGAAAACACGAUUGCUUUUAUCGGUCCUUCAACACCGGA